rnacentral:rRNA from 1 species
GAUGAACGCUGGCGGCGUGACUAAUACAUGCAAGUCGAGCGAACGGACGAGAAGCUUGCUUCUCUGAUGUUAGCGGCGGACGGGUGAGUAACACGUGGAUAACCUACCUAUAAGACUGGGAUAACUUCGGGAAACCGGAGCUAAUACCGGAUAAUAUUUUGAACCGCAUGGUUCAAAAGUGAAAGACGGUCUUGCUGUCACUUAUAGAUGGAUCCGCGCUGCAUUAGCUAGUUGGUAAGGUAACGGCUUACCAAGGCAACGAUGCAUAGCCGACCUGAGAGGGUGAUGGGCCACACUGGAACUGAGACACGGUCCAGACUCCUACGGGAGGCAGCAGUAGGGAAUCUUCCGCAAUGGGCGAAAGCCUGACGGAGCAACGCCGCGUGAGUGAUGAAGGUCUUCGGAUCGUAAAACUCUGUUAUUAGGGAAGAACAUAUGUGUAAGUAACUGUGCACAUCUUGACGGUACCUAAUCAGAAAGCCACGGCUAACUACGUG